CCCGGGGUGGAGAAACGGUUAUCUCAUUAGCCUCAUAAGCUAAGGAAGUGGGUUCAACUCCCGCCCCCGGAACCA
rnacentral:tRNA from 1 species